UACGUAGGGUGCGAGCGUUAAUCGGAAUUACUGGGCGUAAAGCGCACGCAGGCGGUCUGUUAAGUUUGACGUGAAAGCUCCCGGCUUAACUGGGAGAGGUCGUUGAAUACUGGAAGACUUGAGGCAAUGAGAGGGGUGUAGAAUUCCCGGUGUAGUGGUGGAAUGCGUAGAUAUCGGGGGGAAUACCAGUGGCGAAAGCGGCACCCUAGCGUUAGCCUGACGCUCAUGUGCGAAAGCGUGGGGAGCGAACAGG
rnacentral:rRNA from 1 species